GUUAAGUUGGCAGAAUUAUGUGAUUGACUUAGGAUCAAUAGAAAUAGGUAAAGUCCUUUACUUAACA
rnacentral:tRNA from 1 species